UCUAAAUGUCAGGAAAAAGAGCCAAGAUGAGAAGAAACUCCACACAGAAGAUGUUCCCUCAGUAAAAUGGAGAAGAGCAGCAACGACACUGGGAGACAAACAACAGGAUGAUCCAAAGACAGCUGAGGGUCUUCAGAGCAGCGUGAACGGCCGUCACCUGAGAGCAAGACAGUCCUGGCGCCUUUGUGGUUCCCUCCAGACUGACCUGUCCAGGUUGUACUCCUGCCUCUGGCCCCAUAACAGCUGGGAUGGCUCCAAUCUUGAAUUGGAUAAGCUGAAGAAAUGGAUGGAAGGAUGAUCCAAAGAGAAACAUCAAAGGCCCUCUCACCAGCUUUCAUUUAUUAAAUUUGUCUUUACUGAACGAUUUCUGUUAGACGAGGAGGAGCGGCCAAGGGAGAUCAGCUGGGCUCGAGCUGUCAGACGGUGCGACUGCGUCAGCUGUCAAAAUACAAAUAUAUCAAUA